rnacentral:misc_RNA from 1 species
UCCGAGUUGACCCCGGCAGUCUCCUACGAGUCCCCACCAUUACGUGCUGGCAACUAAAGACGAGGGUUGCGCUCGUUGCGGGACUUAACCCAACAUCUCACGACACGAGCUGACGACAGCCAUGCAGCACCUGUCACUCAUCCAGCCGAACUGAAGGAAUCCAUCUCUGGAAUCCGCGAUGAGGAUGUCAAACGCUGGUAAGGUUCUUCGCGUUGCAUCGAAUUAAGCCACAUGCUCCACCGCUUGUGCGGGCCCCCGCCAAUUCCUUUGAGUUUCAAUCUUGCGGCCGUAAUCCCCAGGCGGUUCACUUAAUGCGUUAGCUGCGGCACCGAGGGAGACCCCCCAACACCUAGUGAACAUCGUUUAUGGCCAAGACUAC